rnacentral:rRNA from 1 species
GACGAACGCUGGCGGCGUGCUUAACACAUGCAAGUCGAACGGAAAGGCCCUGCUCUUGUGGGGUGCUCGAGUGGCGAACGGGUGAGUAACACGUGAGUAACCUGCCCCUGACUUUGGGAUAACUUCAGGAAACUGGGGCUAAUAUCGGAUAGGAGCUCCUGCUGCAUGGUGGGGGUUGGAAAGUGUCGGCGGUUGGGGAUGGACUCGCGGGUUAUGAGCUUGAUGGUGGGGUAGUGGCUUACCAAGGCUUUGACGGGUAGCCGGCCUGAGAGGGUGACCGGCCACAUUGGGACUGAGAUACGGCGCAGACUCCUACGGGAGGCAGCAGUGGGGAAUAUUGCACAAUGGGCGGAAGCCUGAUGCAGCAACGCCGCGUGCGGGAUGACGGCCUUCGGGUUGUAAACCGCUUUCGCCUGUGACGAAGCGUGAGUGACGGUAAUGGGUAAAGAAGCACCGGCUAACUACGUG